rnacentral:rRNA from 1 species
GACGAACGCUGGCGGCGUGCUUAACACAUGCAAGUCGAACGGAAAGGCCCUGCUUUUGUGGGGUGCUCGAGUGGCGAACGGGUGAGUAACACGUGAGUAACCUGCCCUUGACUUUGGGAUAACUUCAGGAAACUGGGGCUAAUACCGGAUAGGAGCUCCUGCUGCAUGGUGGGGGUUGGAAAGUUUCGGCGGUUGGGGAUGGACUCGCGGCUUAUCAGCUUGUUGGUGGGGUAGUGGCUUACCAAGGCUUUGACGGGUAGCCGGCCUGAGAGGGUGACCGGCCACAUUGGGACUGAGAGACGGCCCAGACUCCUACGGGAGGCAGCAGUGGGGAAUAUGGCACAAUGGGCGGAAGCCUGAUGCAGCAACGCCGCGUGCGGGAUGACGGCCUUCGGGUUGUAAACCGCUGUCGCCUGUGACGAAGCGUGAGUGACGGUAAUGGGUAAAGAAGCACCGGCUAACUACGUG